ensembl:snRNA U6 U6 spliceosomal RNA
GUGCUUGCUUCAAUAGCACAUACACUAAAAUGGGAAUGAUACAGAGAUUAGCAUGGCCUUUGUGCAAGGAUGACAUGGAAAUUUAUGAAGCAUUCCAUAUUUUU